GCUUCAGAUAGGAUAUGGAAUGGAAAUGGAAAACGGCCAUGUCACCUCCUUGUUCAUCUCAGCCAUGCCAUUUAAUCUGCUGGACUCCAGUGGGUCUGCUGAUCUAAACAGGAGGAACAGCAAAGAGCAAGCCAAAGCCUGUGAAGAAAGGGGUCAGCAGCUGGUCAUUGAUGAUAAGAUCUCUAAAUUCACAUGGUGGAAGAAAUCUAACAAAUCUUCCAGUGACUAAAUGAAAAAAGAAGUUUCUACAACAGCAGAUGAAGUUUUGGCAGGAUAUCAGAUAAAUAAUUCUGUAUGAAAUAAUAUAUGUUUAAGGUACAUCAACUAGUGGAUUUAUUGAAAGAUGAAAUUCUGAGCCACACAAAGCAUGACAUAGAGACAAUCUUGACAAUAUCAGCAUGUUAACACUUUUAUCAGCUGCAGCUGCUACUGCUAUGCAUGUUAUCCUGCUAUUCUAUCACAUAAGGACAGGCAAGAAUUUUAGUCUCCAUAACAAUAAAAUCUGUGCAGUAGCAUUUCAUGUUUAAUGCAGACAAAAUCACAGGCAUAAGGAUGACAAGAUAUUUUGUUUCUGCUAACCAUUUGUUUUUUGUGGUAUCUGCAUUAAGGUCUGGUGCAUAUUGCAAUAAAGGGUCUGUCAAAGAUGUUCACUAAACAGAGGUAUUACAUAUAUAUAUAUAUAUAUAGAGAGAGAGAGAGAGAGAGAGAGAGAGAGAGACAGGGGUAUUCACAUACAUUCCCCCUUAUGUAGCUUCUUCGUUUACAUAAAAUUCAACCUCUGUAACCAAGUAUGGUUUUGAUUAAGAAGAUGUAGAUCCCUAAAUCUUUAUCACUACAUCCUUUUCUGGCUUAAGCACUUCUCUUUCUAAUAAAGAUAUAGCUCAUUUUAGUGAAAAACUGGGGAGGGCUUGUUCCUCUGCCUUUGCCAGCUCCUGAAUACCAAUACACCCGGCAUACACAUGUAAAACUACUUUCAUUUCUAAUGAGUAUUGCCAAAAUGAUCAUUCUUCCUAAAAGGCAGAAUUAAGAUGUAAAAUAUCAAUCACAGAGCUAGCAUAUGCCAAAUGGCUCAGUCCUAAAAGGUUCUGAACCUCAGUGCUCAAAAUUUCAUUCAAAAACCCAAAGUGUGUAUCACAUGCAACUUCAUAGUCUUUUUUGAUUUUGAAUGUUAACUUGGCUGAAUUUUUGCUCAUACAGUCAGAAAUAAAUAAUGGUUUCUGAUCUUAGAUAUGUGUAUGCAUGUAUAUAUAUACAUACAUGUAUAUCUUAAAUAUAUAUAUGUAAUUAAAAAGAAAAAAAUAUGUGUGUGUGAGUGGACAAUAGCACCUUAUUUCUGUUUUCUACAACACUACAGAUGUAAGGAUGGGAAAUGUUUUCAUAUGCGGUCUGUACAAACAAACAGAAUU